UACAGAGGUCUCAAGCGUUGUUCGGAUUCAUUGGGCGUAAAGGGUGCGUAGGCGGCGCGGUAAGUCGGGUGUGAAAUCUCGGAGCUUAACUCCGAAACUGCAUUCGAUACUGCCGUGCUUGAGGACUGGAGAGGAGACUGGAAUUUACGGUGUAGCGGUGAAAUGCGUAGAUAUCGUAAGGAAGACCAGUGGCGAAGGCGGGUCUCUGGACAGUUCCUGACGCUGGAGGCACGAAGGUCAGGGGAGCAAACGGGG
rnacentral:rRNA from 1 species